UGGACUUCGUCGGAAUGAGACGACUGGGCAGCCGUGAACGCAUAAGACAGUAAUAAGUGCGUGCAAACAGUGCCUUCAUUGUUAGCCCUGUACAAAUAUGAAAUCGUAUCAGACAAUAUGUAUUGAAGCCAAGGCGUUCCAACACAAUGCUUUUGAGUUGCAUGUUACGAGUUGAAUGUGGUUUCAUUUGUCGGCUCUCCUUGUUCUCACAGCAUUGCGCAGACUCCAACUCAGGGAGGCGGAACGCUCUGCGUCACUGCUGCGUGAUGACGUGUACACCACGCCCCGCCGCCAGCAAGGCCGCCACCACGUGGCCAGCAGACUUUUACAGGUUGCUGAUCCUCCUCGGUGGAUCUCAGCUGUCUGUGCAACCCAUCCAGAGCCUUGGGAAAAGCCGCAUGGCUGCUUGCUCAUCGCUGCAGGGUAACUGUGCUUGA
rnacentral:lncRNA from 1 species